rnacentral:tRNA from 1 species
GGGGGUAGAGCUCAGUGGUAGAGCAUGUGCUUGGCAUGCACAAGGUCCUGGGUUCAAUCCCCAGUGCCUCUG